ACGUACGCUGGCGGCACGCCUAACACAUGCAAGUCGAACGCAGUAGCAAUACUGAGUGGCAGACGGGUGAGUAACAUGUGGGAAUCUGCCUUGUGGUUCAGGACAACAUUGGGAAACCGAUGCUAAUACUGGAUAAGCCCUUACGGGGAAGUUUUAAUGCCAUAAGAUGAGCCCGCAUUUGAUUAGUUAGUUGGUAGGGUAAUGGCCUACCAAGACUAUGAUCAAUAGCUGAUUUGAGAGGAUGAUCAGCCACAUUGGGACUGAGACACGGCCCAAACUCCUACGGGAGGCAGCAGUGGGGAAUCUUGC
rnacentral:rRNA from 1 species